UUGGCUCUCUCUUCUUUGAGGUUUCGUCGAUGGAGCCGAAGAAGGACACGGUGAAGCCAAACUUCAGAACCCCUCCAAAGUGCAUAAUUUUGAUAGUACUUCAUGUCCGGUGAAGUAGUUUCAAGCAUGCAAGCAAAUAAGUAGUUCUUUUAUUAGUCAUGUGUGAUCAGCGUGGCCAGUUGAUUAAGUAGCUUUUCUAAUUAAAGAAUACUACUUCAGAAUAGGGUCCACGUACAGGUUGUGCUAGUUAGCUUGUUUUUUUUCUUUCUCUCCGAGAUGUAAAAGGAGGGGAUCUCCGUAUUAGUUUGAGACGGUUAGUAGUUUAGUCCCUUACGGCUGGCUGGUGUCUAGGAUAUAAAAGGCAGCGUCCUGAGUCUUGUACGGAGAUUUGUUUUUAGUUUGGAGUUGAUAAACACAACAGAAAAGGCCUCACGUCAGAAGGCACCAAGGAUGUGUUCUUGCGAAUCCUAGGGAUUCGUUGCUGUUGUGCUCGCGUCUGAUCUCAUAUCAGUUUUGCUGCAAGUCUUCUCCUUUGGUUUCUUAUCUUAUCUGUUUGAUCCGAAGGUUUCUUUUCUUCUGUGUCUAUUUCUUCUGCGACUUUUGCUGCCGUCGUUCAUUGCUAUUUCGCAAGUACCGUGGAAGGUCGGACCAACCAGCGACUCGUCGUCUAGUCGAGUCAUAUCAAGUGGUAUUCAGAGCUAGGUUGUUCACGGUACUGUGUUGAUUAAGAUGUCAAAUUCGGUCAACAAGGUUGAUGAGGUCGUUGCUGAUUCUGAGGAAGUUGUGCGUCCAGUGUACGUGGAUGAUAUUCCUCAAAAUAUUCGGGAUGGUUUUGACCACAUGUGCAACUACGUCAAGCAAUGCCAUGACGCACUCGAGGUGAAGCUUGGCCAAAGGAUUGAUGUUCUGAUCGCUCGGUUCGAUGCUUUGGCGGACACCAUCAAUACGCCGACGACUAAUUCUGCACCACCACAGGCUGCUCCAGCUGCUCCACUGCAUUAUGCACCACCGGCUCACGAUGGACAUGUCGGCGUGCAUGAUCGCCGUUUGGUGGCACAACCACAUGCUGGAGAUGAUGGCAUCGAUGACGGAGUUGACCAUGAGGCGGGGUACACACCACGACCGCGACACUAUGAGCCCCGUCCUGAAACUUCUGCUCGUGGUGGAGCGCAUGACCGUGUGGGUCAAGCUAUGCAUGUUCCUUUCGAUGAUGGAAUUGGGCGCAUAAAAAUUUCAAUCCCUUCGUUCUCCGGCAAGUGCGAACCAGAAGGCUAUUUGGAGUGGGAGAUGCGUGUUGAUCAAAUUUUUGACGCCCAUCAUUAUAGCGAGGAGAAGAAAGUUCAACUUGCUAGAAUUGAGUUCACCGGUUACGCACUAAUUUGGUGGAGUCAAAUUUGUCAUUCAAGACAUCGCCCGACGACUUGGAGAGGUAUGAAAGAAUUCAUGAGGCGAUGUUUUGUUCCCGAGCACUAUAAAAGAGAUAUGUAUAACAAGUUGCAGCGGCUCUCUCAAGGCAAUAUGAGUGUUGAUGAAUAUUACAAGGAGAUGGAGUUGCUUAUGAUACGUACAGGGACAACGGAGGAUCCGGAGGCAACCAUGGCAUGUUUCUUUAAUGUACUAAAUAUUGAGGUGCAGGAUCGUGUUGAGAUGGUGGUCUACUACAACAUACAAGAUCUAGUGCACCAAGCUGUGCGUGCAGAACAGCAGAUUAAGCGACGCCAAGUUAGCACAGUUCCCAGUACCACUUUGAACACAUGGCGGCGCUCGCAGCAUAAGAUUGAGGAUGCAGGUCCUAGCUCGAGGACAGCCGUGUCAAAUCACUCCCAUGGUUCCGUGCAAAAGGAUGCUUCAAAAUCAGGACUGUCGAAGUUUGAUUCUAGUGCACAGUCCACCACACGUACCAGUAACAUAGAGUGUUUCAAGUGUGGAGGAAGAGGGCAUAUGAGGCGUGAAUGUCCUAAUGAGAAAAGAGUGUUGCUCACAAGAGAUGGAUAUGCGUCCGCUAGUGACGAAGAGUCAGUUUCUGACACUUCUAGUGAAAAAACUGAAGAAACAGAAAAGGUGUUUGCGAGUUUUGAAGCUGCUGAAUCAUAUCCGUCUUUGAUGGUGCAGCGGGUUCAAGAGGAUCGCAUUGAGGAUAAGGGGCAGCGCUGGAAUAUUUUUCAAACUCAAUGCAAAAUCAACAACACCAAUUAUAAGUUAAUUAUAGAUGGAGGAAGCUACACCAACGCGGUCAGCAAGGUAUUGGUGGAAGCUUUGGAGUUACCUACAUGGGAGCACACUCAGCCACACCGUGUCGAGUGGAUGUAUCAUACAGGGAAGAUGAAGGUUACACAUAAGGUCCGUGUGAAUUUUUCUGUUGGCAAUUAUACUGAUAUGGUGAUAUGUGAUGUUUUGCCAAUGGAUGUGUGCCAUAUAUUGUUAGGAAGACCAUGGCAAUAUGAUCAUGGAGCCACACAUGAUGGGAGGUCUAACACUUAUUCAUUUUGGUAUAAUGGAAAACGGAAUGUGUUGAGACCGAUUUUGCCAAUGCCAUCGAUGUAGAUGCUAAUGUUUCUCUACAACAAAAGAUCGCAAAGGUUGUUUCGAAGCCGAGGACGGCUUCGCUUCAAGAGGGGGAGGAUGAUGUGUGCACCAAUGUUGUAGGUUUACUUGGGGUGACUCCAAGUGUUGAACAAAAGACAAGCACAACCAUUUGUUUUGACGCAAGUAUACCAGAGGCUUCAGAUUCUAAUCUUUCGACUGUGCUACAGCUUGGCUCUCUCUUCUUUGAGGUUUCGUCGAUGGAGCCAAAGAAGGACACGGUGAAGCCAAACUUCAGAACCCCUCCAAAGUGCACUAAUUUUGAUAGUAUUUCAUGUCUGGUGAAGUAGUUUCAAGCAUGCAAGCAAAUAAGUAGUUCUUUUAUUAGUCAUGUGUGAUCAGCAUGGCCGGUUGAUUAAGUAGCUUUUCUAAUUAAAGAAUACUACUUCAGAAUAGGGUCCACGUACAGGUUGUGCUAGUUAGCUUGUUUUUUUUCUUUCUCUCCGAGAUGUAAAAGGAGGGGAUCUCCGUAUUAGUUUGAGACGGUUAGUAGUUUAGGCCCUUACAGCUGGCUGGUGUCUAGGAUAUAAAAGGCAGCAUCCUGAGUCUUGUACGGAGAUUUGUUUUUAGUUUGGAGUUGAUAAACACAACAGAAAAGGCCUCACGUCAGGAGGCACCAAGGAUGUGUUCUUGCGAAUCCUAGGGAUUCGUUGCUGCUGUGCUCGCGUCUGAUCUCAUAUCAGUUUUGCUGCAAGUCUUCUCCUUUGGUUUCUUAUCUUAUCCGUUUGAUCCAAAGGUUUCUUUUCUUCUGCGUCUAUUUCUUCUGCGACUUUUGCUGCCGUCGUUCAUUGCUAUUUCGCAAGUACUGUGGAAGAUUGGACCAACCAGCGACUC
rnacentral:lncRNA from 1 species